rnacentral:tRNA from 2 species
GGCGGUGUAGCUCAGGUGGUAGAGCAUGCGACUCAUAUUCGCAGUGUCCGGGGUUCAAAUCCCUGCACCGCCACCA